AUAGCUAUAGUAUAACUAUUACAUUUGAUUUCCAAUCAAUUGAUCUUCAUUUACCUGAAGUAGCUAUA
rnacentral:tRNA from 1 species